rnacentral:rRNA from 1 species
GAUGAACGCUGGCGGCGUGCUUAAUACAUGCAAGUAGAACGCUCAAGCGAGGAGCUUGCUCUUCUUGGAUGAGUUGCGAACGGGUGAGUAACGCGUAGGUAACCUACCUGUUAGCCGGGGAUAACUAUUGGAAACGAUAGCUAAUACCGCAUAAAAUGUAUUAUCGCAUGAUAAUCCAUUGAAAGGUGCAAUUGCAUCACUACCACAUGGACUUGCGUUGUAUUAGCUUGUUGGUGAGGGAACGGCUCACCAAAGCGACGAUACAUAGCCGACCUGAGAGGGUGGUCGGCCCCACUGGGACUGAGACACGGCCCAGACUCCUACGGGAGGCAGCAGUAGGGAAACUUCGGCAAUGGGCGGAAGUCUGACCGAGCAAAGCCGCGUGAGUGAAGAAGGGUUUCGGGUCGUAAAGAUCUGUUGUAAGAGAAGAACGAGUGUUAGAGUGAAAAGUUCACGCUGUGACGGUAUCUUACCAGAAAGGCACGGCUAACUACGUG